rnacentral:lncRNA from 1 species
AUUGACAGAUGAAAAAGUAUGACUAUAUGCGUACAGCUAGCGGCGCACUAUAAUUAUUAGAGCAAUGCUCCUAUACACCAAAAAGAUUUCGGCCCUUAAAUUUUUUAAAAUGAAUGGUGGAUAUGUCAUUUAGUUAAGAGGGUGACUGGCUUUUGUUGCCAUAGGUACCACUCACCAUCCUACCAAGCGUAAAUUAUUUCCUCAUAUAUAAAAUUAGUAUGAAGGGCUUUUUUUUGUAAAUUUCUAUUUUCAUUCUCAUAAUGCUCUUCUAGUAAUUUGGUAAGAUAUCUCGUUUUAUUCUUAGAAACUUUUCACCCACAGAUAUUUUCCUCGAAGCUAUUUUACCCUUUUUUUUCUUUGUUGAGAGAGAAAUCCAU